rnacentral:misc_RNA from 1 species
GUGAAUCAUCAAAUUUUUGAACGCAAAUUGCACUCUUCUCGGAGAGUAUGCCUGUUUGAGGGUCAGCCUAUAAAAAAUCGACAUCGUUGCUGUUUCGCGGUUACAUUCGUCGGAAAUUGGGUCAUCUUAAACCUUUGUUUUUUACGCUGCUUAAAAUUUUCUUUACGAUUCUAUUAACGUUUCUAAGAUUUACUUACACGUUUAAGGUAUCGAUUUUUAUUAGAUGUGCCCGUUGCA